GAAUGCUGACAUAAGUAACGAUAAAGCGGGUGAAAAGCCCGCUCGCCGGAAGACCAAGGGUUCCUGUCCAACGUUAAUCGGGGCAGGGUGAGUCGACCCCUAAGGCGAGGCCGAAAGGCGUAGUCGAUGGGAAACAGGUUAAUAUUCCUGUACUUGGUGUUACUGCGAAGGGGGGACGGAGAAGGCUAUGUUGGCCGGGCGACGGUUGUCCCGGUUUAAGCGUGUAGGCUGGUUUUCCAGGCAAAUCCGGAAAAUCAAGGCUGAGGCGUGAU
rnacentral:rRNA from 1 species